GAUGGGGGAAACCCUGACGCAGCGAUGCCGCGUGAGUGAAGAAGGCCCUAGGGUUGUAAAACUCUUUCACCGGUGAAGAUAAUGACGGUAGCCGGAGAAGAAGCCCGGGCUAACUCCGUGCCAGCAGCCGCGGUAAUACGGAGGGGGCUAACGUUGUUCGGAAUUACUGGGCGUAAAGCGCGCGUAGGCGGGUUAGAUAGUUGAGGGUGAAAUCCCGGAGCUUAACUCCGGAACUGCCUUCAAUACUACUAAUCUUGAGUUCGGAAGAGGUGAGUGGAAUUCCUAGUGUAGAGGUGAAAUUCGUAGAUAUUAGGAAGAACAUCAGUGGCGAAGGCGACUCACUGGUCCGAUACUGACGCUGAGGUGCGAAAGCGUGGGGAGCAAAUAGGAUU
rnacentral:rRNA from 1 species